UGGCCGGGAGGAAGCAGGAAACCCCCUCUCAGCCCUGCCCCAGGCCCAUCCUGGGGUUUCCUUCUCACCACAGGGAGUGGUCUGAAGGCAUGAACAAGGCAAGCCCAAUCUAAAUCAAAGCUUCCAUUUCUCAUGUGAUUCACAGCGUCUUCCCUCCCUAUCCCCGUGGGACUGACCCCGCCAUUGUGGAAGAGGGUGGGUUCCAUUCCUUCCCAUUCCUGCUCACCUCUUCGCUGCCUCCCAAUGUGGGUCUCCCCAACCCCACCCUGCUGGGGACAGGGAGGGGCAUGACUGAAAGGGGCAAAGUGGCCUUGAUGCCCACCACGUGACAUCUUUGCCUCCACGUCCCCUGCCCUCCACGGCAGCCCAAAGGCCCUCUGCAAUGUCUCUGCUCCUGACCUUGGCGGGGCACCCACCCCCAGCUCUCUCUCCUGGGGCCUCCCACCCUUGCAGGCAGCCCUCCUGGCUUGUUUCUUUCUCGAUGGCCUCAGAGGUGUGCUCUUGGCCCUUGAGCCAAACAGGCCCGACCUGCCUGGCUGGGGGGGUGUGGGGGUGUGUGGUGUGAGACGGCAGGCCACGCCCUUCCUCCUUGCCCUGCAUCAGUGGGCUCCACGGCCUCACCCUCAGCUCCAUGCACCCUCUUCAGCCCUUGUGUCAGGCUCCCUCAAGAACUCUCCUUUCCCACUUGGAAGCAGCGAGGGGAGGCCCACCAGGAGGAUCUUGGGCCCAAAUCCCAUCCAUGUGGGAGCCAGCUGAACUCGGGAGCCGUUCCCAGGGAAGUGACGUGCCACAGCCGCCCCCAGCCUUGGGCCUCCCUGCUUGAUACACUCAACUGGGGGCAACGGAGCAAAUUCCAAGACAAAGUUUCGAGAACAAUGAUUCAGAGGCUCGUAGAGGACAUUUAUGGGCCCUCCUUCCUAGGCGCAGGCCUCCGGCCCGGGACACCGCCCGCAGUUCCCGCUUCGGAAGUGCCCAGCGCGCGGCGCCCGGACUGCUCCGCCCCCCGCAGCCCCUCCGUCCACGCCCGGCUCCUCCUCCUCCUCCUCCUUCCCGGGGGUUGGGGAGCCGGCUCCGGAAGCCCUGGCGCCCCCGCCCCGGCCGCCACUGGAGCUUUGGAGAGGGCGGUCCGCGCGGGAGCGUGCCUCGCGGGGCCGGAGCUCCCAGCCGCCGCCAGCGCCUCGGAACCCCCGGACCACCCCUGAGCUCCCACCGACCCCUGAGCCGCUGCCUGGCUCCGAAGCCCCUGCGCCUCGCCCCAGAGCCCCCCGCCUGCCCCUCCCCGGAGCCUCCCGCGCCCCAUCCCGGAGGCCCUCGCCCGCCCUCCCAGAGCCC